rnacentral:misc_RNA from 1 species
AUAUAUGUUUUUCAAGGGUUAGAAUUGCUCUUACAUUUGCUUUUUCUUCAUGGAUUGUUUGUUGUUAUGCAUCCAAACCUUGAAAACUUUUCGCUUUACACCCACUCGUGAGCAAAACUGCUGCACUUCUUGCUCAUCUUGUUUCUGAAUCUUCCAUCCCAAUCUUUCUGCAAAUUCCAUCAUCUUGUCCUUCUGUUCUUGGCUAAACUUUGUCCUAAACCUCUUCUUCAACGAAGACGGCCGCUUGGAUCUUACCCCCUGCAAAUUUGACUGAAAAAUAUUGAGAUCUUCACUUGAUGACUCCGCUCCACCACUGCCCCCUCCGCCACCGAAGGUCAUCAUCAUAGGUGCAGUUGGGGCAGUGCAGACGCUAAAAGAAAACCCACGAGGGUAUCUAUGAUAUUGAAGAG